GGGGGUAUAGUUCAGUGGAAGAGUGUGUACUUAGCAUGUAUGAGGUCCUGGGUUCAAUCCCCAGUAUCUCCA
rnacentral:tRNA from 1 species